CUGCGAGUUCGCGGGAGAGUAAGUUAUUGCCAGGGUUUUUGUUUUAUACUUUAAACAUUGAUUUUAUUUUUUAUGUUUUUAGAUGUUCAUGUUUUUGAAUGUUUUAUUCAAAUAAUAUAAAAACUAAAAUAUAUAUUGACAUGGAUUAAACAAAGAUAUAUAUUAUUCUAUGUUGUAUAAACAAAUUGGCAAAAUAGAGAUGGAAGAUAAAAAUAUGGUCAAAGUAAUAAGAGUCUAUGGUGAAUGCCUAGGA
rnacentral:misc_RNA from 1 species